rnacentral:lncRNA from 1 species
UUAGGAAUCAUGUUCUUAUUUAGAUUCUGCUCACUUCCCUAUCCUUUUCUUCUUCUCAGUUUCAGCGUUCAAAAAGCUGUGUGAAUUUCACACUACCUAAAUGAAAAUUUAAAAUUAUCCAAUUCCACCAAAAUUUAUUCAGAAUCUAGUGUGUGCCAGGCAUUUUGUUAAGCACUGGGUAUGAACAACUGAGUAAAAUACUCCAGAAUCUGAUACGUUAGAAGGAAUUUAGAAAAGUAAAUACAGAGCUGUAAUAAAAUUAGGAUCGGUCCCAUGAUAGCAUUGUUUUUAAAAUGUGAGUGUAUAAGUGAGCAAGAUUAAUUUCAUUGGGUAGUGAGAAGAUAGGGAGAAACCAGAGAAUUGUAAAUACAUUUGAUCUGAUACUGGAAAGAGGUCAUGUAGACCAGAAAAGGAAAGAUACCCAGAUACCUCAAGGUGAGGAACUAGCACUAGGAAGAAGCACGGUGUGUUCAAGGUAACGAGCUGUUGGGGUGAAGCGGAAGAAAGCAGCCGAUGAUCUUAAAGCUAUCAACUGUGGGACUGUUAAGCACAUCCGUAUGAGAGACCACCUGAGCAGGCUUAGUGUGAGCAACAAGGCUGUCUAUUCACUUGGAUGCAAGUGGGCUGAGUCCGAGAAAGGAGUCAGCAAAGAGUGGUGGGAUUAUCAUUGGUUCUUACAGGUUUGGGAUAGGCGGUGGAAUUAGGAGCAGAUUUUUCGUGCAGUGGAUGGAUGUUACAAAGUACAUUCACAAGAGUUGGUAG